UUGAAACGGAGAGAAACUUAACAACAUCACAUUAUAAUUUUAUAUUCCCUCUGAAUUUAAUUACGACUAUAAAAGUUUAUAUGGAUUUAUUUCUUUCGCCGUUAACUUAAGUAAAUCGUCAACUACACGUUUGAAGAUAUUUAAAAUUUGUUUAGUGACAAACGUGUUUCAUCAUUUAAAGCUUUUGAGUUUCAAGAUUUAACAGCAGGGAUUAAAGAAGAAUACCCCAUGGAGGCAUUCAUCCGAUGUGAUCCCCCAUUUUGAACUGUACCUAAGCUGUAUCCUACUCUGCUAUGGACCACAUCAUGCACACAUGAUAAUUUCUAGGCCAUCAAAAGUACACGCAAGGUGAUUUUCCAACAAAGAUCGAAGCAGGGGUGAAUUUAUACAGCAGCAUUUUUCAUCUGAACUACUUCGAACGUAUACCUACAAUAUCGCAGCGAACAUCAGUAAGCGAGUUGCUGAAGAUGUCGACUGAUCGAUAAACUGGUUAGAAUUGGAUCGUGUAGAUUUUACUCCUGUCAGGUCCCGUAGAACUGUGAAGUACUGAACUAUCAAUUUCCUUUAGUGGUCGCCCGCUUGGUCAAGUGGAUUUUUUCUGGACACCCGAACACUAAUGACCUCCAUCGGGAUUGCGCUAAGACCCAUGCCAACGAGAGAUAUUUGUUAAAGUCGUCAGAACUUGUUUAUCAAUCGUUGUGAAUAAAUAAAGUUUAGCUUUUCUGUUUUCUUUUCGGCAGCAAUUGGAAAAAAAUGUUUUAGGAAACAAUUGGGAUUGUUUGCGCUACAAAAUCACACAGACUUUGACUUUUUCAUUACCGGACAUAACCCGACACCAUGGGGUCACAGUUAUGUUAAUGGGUUGCUGAAGAUGUCGACUGAUCGAUAAACUGGUUAGAAUUGGAUCGUGUAGAUUUUACUCCUGUCAGGUCCCGUAGAACUGUGAAGUACUGAACUAUCAAUUUCCUUUAGUGGUCGCCCGCUUGGUCAAGUGGAUUUUUUCUGGACACCCGAACACUAAUGACCUCCAUCGGGAUUGCGCUAAGACCCAUGCCAACGAGAGAUAUUUGUUAAAGUCGUCAGAACUUGUUUAUCAAUCAUUGUGAAAUAAAUUAAGUUUAGUUUUUCUGUUUUGUUUUCGGCAAAAUUUGGAAAAAUAUGUUUUUGGGAACAAUUGGGAUUUUUAUCCAAACAAUAUUAGCAAACAAGUUUGAUGUAAUUUUAUUAUACGGACAUGUUGCACGCUAAUGUUCACACGAAUGAGUAUUCAAUGCUUUGUCUGACCC